rnacentral:rRNA from 1 species
AUAGAAUCUGAAACCUGGUGCUUACAAGCUGUGAGAGCGGACUUGUUCCGUGAUCACGUGCCUUUUGCAUAAUGAGUCAGCGAGUUAAUCUGUACUGCGAGGUUAAGCGCAAGUGGAGCCGUAGGGAAACCGAGUCUGACAAGGGCGAUGAGUAGUGCGGAUUAGACCCGAAACCGGGUGAUCUAUCCAUGAGCAGGUUGAAGCAAGG